GGGCCCGUAGCUCACUUGGUAGAGCGCCUCGUUUGCAACGAGGAGGCAAGCGGUUCGAUCCCGCUCGGGUCCACCA
rnacentral:tRNA from 1 species